GAUGAACGCUGGCGGCGUGCCUAAUACAUGCAAGUCGAGCGAACAGACGAGGAGCUUGCUCCUCUGACGUUAGCGGCGGACGGGUGAGUAACACGUGGAUAACCUACCUAUAAGACUGGGAUAACUUCGGGAAACCGGAGCUAAUACCGGAUAAUAUAUUGAACCGCAUGGUUCAAUAGUGAAAGACGGUUUUGCUGUCACUUAUAGAUGGAUCCGCACCGCAUUAGCUAGUUGGUAAGGUAACGGCUUACCAAGGCAACGAUGCGUAGCCGACCUGAGAGCGUGAUCGGCCACACUGGAACUGAGACACGGUCCAGACUCCUACGGGAGGCAGCAGUAGGGAAUCUUCCGCAAUGGGCGAGAGCUUGACGGAGCAACGCCGCGUGAGUGAUGAAGGUCUUCGGAUCGUAAAACUCUGUUAGUAGGGAAGAACAAAUGUGUAAGUAACUAUGCACGUCUUGACGGUACCUAAUCAGAAAGCCACGGCUAACUACGUG
rnacentral:rRNA from 1 species